rnacentral:rRNA from 1 species
GACGAACGCUGGCGGCGUGCUUAACACAUGCAAGUCGAACGGAAAGGCCCUGCUUUUGUGGGGUGCUCGAGUGGCGAACGGGUGAGUAACACGUGAGUAACCUGCCCUUGACUUUGGGAUAACUUCAGGAAACUGGGGCUAAUACCGGAUAGGAGCUCCUGCUGCAUGGUGGGGGUUGGAAAGUUUCGGCGGUUGGGGAUGGACUCGCGGCUUAUCAGCUUGUUGGUGGGGUAGUGGCUUACCAAGGCUUUGACGGGUAGCCGGCCUGAGAGGGUGACCGGCCACAUUGGGAAUGAGAUUCGGCCCAGACUCCUACGGGAGGCAGCAGUGGGGAAUAUUGCACAAUGGGCGGAAGCCUGAUGCAGCAACGCCGCGUGCGGGAUGACGGCCUUCGGGUUGUAAACCGCUUUCGCCUGUGACGAAGCGUGAGUGACGGUAAUGGGUAAAGAAGCACCGGCUAACUACGUG